UGGUAUUAUCUAGCCUGGCAAUGACACUGUCACCCAUUUCUAACAUUCUAUUCUUCUAUGGAAUUGAUAUUAUUUUAAUAAUAUGAUCAUUUAUAACAUUUAACUUCUUUACACUGUCCCAUAUGAAACAUCAAGUGAAUUGACAUCCGAAGAAGUAAAGAAAUGAUUUUUGAGGUCUCGGAAGCAUUGAAGAUAAUCCGG
rnacentral:lncRNA from 1 species